rnacentral:rRNA from 1 species
AGCGAACGCUGGCGGCGUGCCUAACACAUGCAAGUCGAACGUGAAAGGGAGCAAUCCCAAGUAAGGUGGCGUACGGGUGAGUAACACGUAGGUAAUCUACCCCAGAAUCUGGAAUAACCGGCCGAAAGGCUGGCUAAUACUGGAUAGAGCGACGGAAUCCGUAAUUGGGUUUUUCGGGAAAGGGAGCCUGUAAAAAGGCCUUCGUUCUGGGAUGAGCCUGCGUCCCAUCAGCUAGUUGGUGAGGUAAAAGCUUACCAUGGCAAGGACGGGUAGCUGGACGGAGAGGACGGUCAGCCACACUGGGACUGUGACACGGUCCAGACGCCUUCAGGAGGCAGCAGUGCGGAAUCGUGCGGAAUGAGUGAAAGAUUGACGCAGCAACGCCGCAUGAGUGAGGAAGAACUCCGGGUUGUAGAGCUCUGUCUAGUGGGACGAAAAUGCUUGGAGUUCACAGGUACAGGAACUGACGGUACCAGUAAAAGAAGCACCGGCUAACUCCGUG